UUGCAGAAACACAACAAGGAAUAUUUGAUGCUGUAUUGAAAGGUGUCAUUGAUUUUGAUUCUGAUCCGUGGCCUGUCAUAUCUGAUAGUGCAAAAGAUCUUAUAAGACGAAUGCUGAAUCCUCGCUCUGCCGAGCGCUUAACAGCACAUGAAGUUCUAUGCCAUCCAUGGAUUCGUGACCAUGGAGUAGCUCCUGACCGUCCACUGGAUCCAACUGUCUUAUCUCGCAUUAAGCAAUUCUCUGCAAUGAAUAAGUUGAAGAAAAUGGCUUUGCGAGUA